GAGUGUUUGGCAACAUGGGCAGUUCUAGGGUCAAAAUGAGCCAAACAACCGUCCGAAAUUUCCUUGCCUCCGUUGGAAAGUUGGAAUUGGAAGUGACCGUGAAAAAGGGAAUCUUUCCAUAAAUCAGUGUCAGCUUAUUGGAUUUGAAAUUGAGAAGAAGAGGAACCAGAAGGAGGAGCUGAAUGUUUAUAGUGCGCCAUUCGUUCAGGAAUGGAGAUUAGUCAAUUUGGAACAUGUGCGGCCAGUCAGCGGGGGCAAGAAAAUUAAUCCCCGCCUUUGGUCACACUUUUGGUGUUGUGCCAGGAGAGUCACCAGGGCACAUCAGCAAUUCCAUACAAAGAUCCUCAGAUCCGUCCACAGCUCCAUUUUGGCACAUAGCAGCCAUGAGAGGAUCAAUGAAUGACCACGUGGAACUUGAAAACGAACUCCGCCGGGUGACCAGUCUUUGAUCCACAUAUACCAUUGAAAAGAACCGCGCCUGAAUACUACCCUCGAUUGAGCUAGAUCUUGACUUGGAAUGCCUAAAACUAUCGGCAUUGGUCAUGGAUAAGUAACUAUGUGGAACGUUCCUCCCUGUUGACGUCCUCUUCUAUAGUGGGAUUAAGGGAGGGAAAAUGAUAGCCAAUAUAGAUAAUUCCAACUCAGCAAGGGGGAGGGAGGAUGGUGACUCGAUCCUGAUGAGGAGGUGGAUUCAUUGAUUAUGACCCUUGGUGCAUCCGGGACAAUGGAUCAGUUGAGAGAGGGAACAACGAACCAGGGACAUAGAGACAUGGACUCAAAGGCCAAAGCUUCGGGCCGCCAAGAGAUUUGAGAUGCGACAUGAGAUCCUAUUCAUAAGAAAUAGCGUGCCACCCGUUAUCGACUUCUAUCAUAGUAGGAGCAAACUUCUGUGUUCCCAACGAUUGACUCUGUCUUUGUGAAAGGUCAGGGUAAUCCAAAAAGCUCAGGUUGACCGGAGUCUAUUCAAAUGACCUUCUCUACCUUCUCUAUAUUAGUACUUGGAAGCAUUAUAUUGAUGCCACUGUUGAAUGCAAAAUUUAAAGACGAGCCAGAGGGUUAUUUUUGGAACUCGGUGUAUGAUAAGAUGUUCCAAACGUUUGGUAUUUUCAUGAGUUGCUAUCGAUUACCUGCAUUAGCAUUAUUCCACCAACUGAUAAUCUUUUUCGAAUUCAAAACACGACAGUGCUCUUUUUAUGCAUAUUCCUCAGACGAAGUGCAAUAUCGGCAAAAGUUUAGGUCUACACAAUCGUUGUGACUCGGCAAAACAUUCCAAGUGCUCGAUGGAUCUACAAUUGAUCCUCGAUUGCCGCCUUCGAGGACCUCUAUUUUACCAUUGGUAUUGAAUUGAUUGGAUUAUUGGCGGAUAAAUUCUCCAAUUUCCUGAUGGAAUACAUUACACAACUCAAUUCGAGACCAGGGUCGUCAGAAUGUAUCAAAUUUGCCAUAUUCCUACUUACUUUUAUUUAGAAUUAAACUCUGCUACAGAGAAGGUACCUUGUUGAGCGUGAAUGCCCAACCAAGAAUUCUAGAAACUUGGAGGAGGAUCUUUACCGAGUGGAGGGUUGCCAAUCUGAAAGACGACUGGGAACCCUCAGUGAAAAGCGUAUCGGAUUAGCCAGUCCUUUUGGACAAAAACAUGAUCCCCAAAGUGCUAAAAGCCUGCCAAAAUGGUGUCACUUUCUCCCGCUUAUCCCUAGCCUCCCAGUUAGUUCAGUGCAUUGGCCAACAUUUGCAAACAAAGGUGAUCAGAGGCACAUAAAACCACCAUUUAUUUGCUAUAUGAUCUAGAGCGACCCAAAAAGCGAAUGCAACUAGCUGUUCCGGUCUGCCGAUUUUGUCUUUCUCCAUGGCACCGUGGGUUUCGCAGUUGUCUUUUCAGUCUGAUGCCCUUAACGCUGAAUACCAGUCAUCUCACCCCAAUAUGUGACCCCUCGCCCAACACCCCGACACCCCAUCCUAUCUCCAAUCCGUUGUGCAGUGUGCACCCAUCAUGCAGUGUUCAGAGUGCAACCAACCACCAUUGUGUUCUUUCGCGUUGGAUAUUGGGCGAGAUGGCAUAGAACAAAACGCUAAGAGGCGGCCUGGAAGAGGCUAUAUUGAAACGAAUGUUUGGACUGGUUUGUUCUUUAAAAUCGCGAAUCGUCAUUCCAUGCCAUCGAUGCCAAACCCCAUUUGAUGUGAUUAAAUAGAAAACGUACUAUCGCUGAAAAUCUUUUAAAAAAAUUCGUUUUAU